rnacentral:rRNA from 1 species
UACGGAGGGUGCAAGCGUUGUUCGGAAUUACUGGGCGUAAAGCGCGCGUAGGCGGCGCAGUAAGUUGGAAGUGAAAUCCCAGGGCUUAACCCUGGAACUGCUUUCAAAACUGCUGUGCUAGAGUAUGGUAGGGGACAGUGGAAUUCCUAGUGUAGAGGUGAAAUUCGUAGAUAUUAGGAGGAACACCAGUGGCGAAGGCGACUGUCUGGGCCAUUACUGACGCUAAGGCGCGAAAGCGUGGGGAGCAAACAGG